AUUGAACGCUGGCGGCAGGCCUAACACAUGCAAGUCGAACGGUAACAGGAAGCAGCUUGCUGCUUCGCUGACGAGUGGCGGACGGGUGAGUAAUGUCUGGGAAGCUGCCUGAUGGAGGGGGAUAACUACUGGAAACGGUAGCUAAUACCGCAUAAUGUCGCAAGACCAAAGAGGGGGACCUUCGGGCCUCUUGCCAUCGGAUGUGCCCAGAUGGGAUUAGCUUGUUGGUGGGGUAACGGCUCACCAAGGCGACGAUCCCUAGCUGGUCUGAGAGGAUGACCAGCCACACUGGAACUGAGACACGGUCCAGACUCCUACGGGAGGCAGCAGUGGGGAAUAUUGCACAAUGGGCGCAAGCCUGAUGCAGCCAUGCCGCGUGUAUGAAGAAGGCCUUCGGGUUGUAAAGUACUUUCAGCGGGGAGGAAGGGAGUAAAGUUAAUACCUUUGCUCAUUGACGUUACCCGCAGAAGUAGCACCGGCUAACUCCGUG
rnacentral:rRNA from 1 species